rfam:Pseudomonas sp. 5 contig10, whole genome shotgun sequence.
CUAGUCUUGACCGGUCGUUGCCAAUUCAACGACCGGUUUUGACAGACCGUCUC